rnacentral:rRNA from 1 species
UACGGAGGGUGCGAGCGUUGUCCGGAAUCACUGGGCGUAAAGGGUGCGUAGGCGGCUUUCUAAGUCUGAUGUGAAAUCCUGGGGCUCAACCCCAGAACUGCAUUGGAUACUGGAAGGCUAGAGUACUGGAGAGGAAACUGGAAUUUACGGUGUAGCAGUGAAAUGCGUAGAGAUCGUAAGGAAGACCAGUGGCGAAGGCGAGUUGCUGGACAGUAACUGACGCUGAGGCACGAAGGCCAGGGGAGUAAACGGG